rnacentral:tRNA from 1 species
GCACCCCUAGCUCAACUGGAUAGAGCAUCGGUCUACGGAACCGAAGGUUAUUGGUUCGAAUCCAAUGGGGUGCG